GGAGGGAGGAUGCACCUGGUAGGCUCCAGUCUGGGAGCUGCAGAAGCCCCUGACCUGGAAGCCAGAGGUGCUGUGACCCAGGCAGAUGUGCAAGCAGCCAUGGAUCUGGGGAGCAGCCUCAGCUGGUGGAAGGAAGGAACCUCCAAGGAAACUCAAGCAGGAAACAGAGGGAUGGGCAUGUGCAGAGACCUGUGAAUUGCCCUGCUGGUGCCGGUUGGCCUCUUCGAUGACCUCUGAUCACAGGGUCCAGAAGCCACCAGACUGCAGCUUGACAUUGGUCUUCUUUCCACACCCCCUGGCUGCAUAGUAUCCAGUGGUAGCUAAGAAAGGGCUGCCACUGUCUGCCAAGGCCUGCCAAUAAUCAACCCUGGGAACUUUGUGUGGGCUGGAGGUCUGGGCCAGGUAAGCACGAGCCAUGGGCUUGAGUCCUGAAGCUUGGAUCCAAAGAGGGGUGGAUGUGAUGUCCUGGUGAGAAUCCAUUUCACAUAGAUGAGCCCGAAUGGCCAAGUUUGGAUCCAGCUGCAGAUGCAAAGUUCAAGGGAAUUUGGAUAGGGAUUCUGGUUUGUGCCCAUCUUGGAUCAGCAAUUUGGCUCAUCAGAAUCACACCAAUGGAGGUGGGUGGUGUAAAUAGGUAGCCCCCAUGCUAAGUGUUUGUUUCUGCAGAGCCCUAGCUUCCAGAAACAGCUGUUGGCAGUGCCCCGGCUCCAGGGGCUGAUCAGUGAAUGAGUUUGCCAGUCUGAGGAUACCAAGAUUGUAAUGUAAGGAAACUUUCAGAGUGGAGUUUCUGGAGAACUCGAAAGCACUGAAAUUCUCUCUCUCUCAAUGCAGCCCACUUGCACAGUUUCAGCUUGAGCUCAGUUGUAUUAAAUGUAUGUUGCCUCUGGAACCUUAAAGUUGAUCUGCCAAAGGACGUUCUAUAUAUGGGGUUGCACCCUUUUUUGCUUCUGUAUAGUGGAUAAAACCACAAAAGGACUGAAAGUGGUUGUUCAGAAAAAGUUCUGUCAGAAAAUUCUUGACCAGUUUUAGAGGCAGAGAGCAGGGACCAUAAAGGCACAGUAUGCCGAAAAUUAAGGCAUGAUAGUUACAAAGUUUAUAUAGACCACACAAGCACAGUAGGAGCUGCUUGCAACUGCAGGUAUCUCAAACAAAGAAGAUUGCUGCUACUUCUCGCUUCAGAACGCGGCCAGAAGUAUCCCAGGAACAGCAUUUCCAGGUGGUAUUUUCAGUCUGGCCAGAGCCAGGAAGGGUGGAAGGAACUGUGCAAUGAAACGGAAUUCUUUGUAAAAGUAGAGCAGCACAAAUGAGGAUGAAAUGGUGGUUUGA